GUAACUGGUCGCCAUGGACAUCAUGGGGAAAAUGCUCUAACAACUGCGGUAGAGGGAAACGAUCGCGAAGACGAGAUUGUAACAAUCCACCACCAGAACAUGGAGGAAAAGAUUGCCUGGGUGAUGGCACACAAGAGGAAGAAUGCACAGGAUGUCCACUUCAGAGAAAUUUGACUCCGUGGACGACGUGGUCUGUCUGCUCUGUAACCUGUGGUGACGGAUCACAGGCGAGAAGUCGGCAGUGUGAUCUCACAGACAGUGAGAAGGACCAGGAACAGUGCUAUUAUAAAGAGGAGCAAAAGAAGAAAUGUCAAACAAACACACCGUGUCCAAUUGACGGUUCCUGGUCAUCCUGGACAAAAUGGGGUGAUUGUUGCGUAAACAGUAGAUCACGCUCACGAACAUGUGACAAUCCAAAGCCGGAGCAUGGAGGAGCAAACUGCGUGGGGGAUGCUGA